rnacentral:tRNA from 1 species
UGGGAUGUCGCCAAGCGGUAAGGCAACGGGUUUUGAUCCCGUCAUUCGCAGGUUCGAAUCCUGCCAUCCCAG